rfam:Ovis aries breed Texel chromosome 16, whole genome shotgun sequence.
UCCCUGGCAGUCCAAGGGUUAGGACUCAGCACUUUCACUGUUGUGAACCAGGUUCAAUCCCUGGUCAGGGUA